GGUAAUAUAAGCAGAGAAGAGGCCCACUUUGGGACAUUUCUGAUUGCUGUCGUCGCUUAAAAACCUUGCAGGCUGAACACCCUCUUCUUCUUUUGGCUCCUGAUCAUUUGGGGAAGGUGCUUCACUCAAGUUGAUUCAGAUACUCCAGCUCCAGGUGCAGAUUUUCAUCUUCUGAACAUCCUAUACUGGUGUUAUCGCACAGCAGCACAACCAGUUUACUGUUUUUGUUGGAGAAAAGAAAAAAG